UUUAAUCUUUUUAAAAAUCUCAUUUAUAAUAAUUAGAUUUACUUAAUCUCCUUAAAUAAAUAUUCAUUUGUCUGAACUACUUUGGACAUAAACACCAUUUAAGACUACACAACCAGUCAACCACAUAAAAAAGAUAGAAAUAACAACGAACAUUUCAGUUAUUAAUUACAUAAAUGUUACAAAGACCAGUUUACCCCUACACUUCUUAAUAGUUUGAUGCGGAAUUCCUCUCUUACAAAUUACCAUUUUUCUGGAGCCGAAUUAACUUUAGGAAGACAAAGCUUCGAAAUCAAGCAAUAAAAAAAAGUUGAAAAUCAAAUCAAAUAAAAAAAAAAAAAAAAAUUCUUGCAUCGAAGAUUUUAGCAUUUAUUAGGGGAGAAUCCAAUGAGGGAGUUUUCUAGGUCAUAACUGACACGUGUCCCUUGUUGUUGUACGUUCCCUAUAAUCGACAACGAAGACGACGUCGGAGCAAAGGCAAAACAAAACGUUCCUGACGAGUCAACCGGUAUCAGGUAAUUUUUAGCCGGUAAAUCCAGUUUCUUCCCGUUGGAGAAAUGAAACGCCACCGUUGGCACCUCAACGCUCUUCUUCUCCGACAAGUCGUAGCAAGUAUCGAACAGCGCCACUCCGUUCGCCGACGGCAACCCCUUCGUGCCCUUUACGAACGCAUCCCGUAGCGCAUUGUAUGCCUCCGUCUGCAACCGAGUCACCGCCGUACCGGAGUCAACUAUAACACCGGCAUUACCGUCGGUUGUUAGCUUGAAUGUCGACGACGGGAUAUGUAACAGUUGACCGGCGACGCUUAGACCUCUUAAACCGACGUAGUAAAACGUGUCGAGCUUGGUGCUUCGUAAUAACGGAGCUGUAAUGGCGUCGUGGGGAGUUGGUGAGUUGAAGUCCAGAGUUGAUGCCGAGUCGGAGUCACGGUCCACGAGGCAAUAGGAGUAGGAAGUCGCGUUUAUCUGUGAAGGAAACGACAACGCUCCGCCGCCGAGACCGAUUAAUCCGGCGGCUCCGACGAACAGUCCCUCGUUAUUAUGUCCACAGCCGAUGGCUAUGUUUUGAACGGCGGUUGAUCCUUCAAGAGUCACCGUCUCCGUCACGAAAUCUCCGACGGUGUAUGACCCAUCGCCGUAGGAUACUUCGUACAAGCAGGUGCCGUUUCUGCACUCUGAAACGUCGAGAGAUUUGCAUUGGUGAGCGUCGCAGGUGAGCGGAGAGUAGGAGGAGGACGACGCCGGCUCAAAAAUAGGGUCCGCUUGCUGGUAGCAAUCGCCGCAGGGUGCGCACUGUACCCAGUUGACGUCGCUGCCGGUAUCGAGUACCAUAUAAACCUGACUCGCCGGACGACCGAUUCCCACUCGGCAGAAGUACUCUCCGCUUCCCUGACUCGUACCUGAAAUUACCGGAACUUCCAAGUCCUCAGCUGCAAGCUCAGUGUCUACCGGCUUAAGAUCCGCUUUCCUGACGCCAUUAACGGCUAGAUCUACCCUGGUUUGAAGGGAUUCCACUCGUGCUGAGUCACGAGCGAGUCUAGCUAACAUAACUGACUCGUAAUCUUGGUGUGAGGAUUUGUGAACAGAGACUCGAGAAUGCAGUUGCAGACUGAGAAGCGAAGAAGACGAUGACGAGUCAAAAGCCGAGGCCAUUAGCGACUGUGAAGGGCGAGGAGUGAAUGAGAGGACAUCGAGGGUUUUCUGGAUGGAAGCAGACACAUCGAGCUCCGAAGUUUCUCCGGUGGAAGUGGGUAAGUGGCUGCGAGAAAGAAUGGAUGGGAGUGAUAAAGUGAAAAGAAUACAGAGGAGAGGAAACCCAAUUUCCGCCAUUAGAGAAGGUUGGAGAGUGAGGAGUGAAAGUAGUGGACAGGGAGGGGGGAUGGAUAUAUACACAGGGGGUGAUGAUUAGAUUAAGAUUAAAAGAUUUGUUAAGUAAAGAAGUGUCAUUCGCGUGGCAUUUUUGUUUAGAAUAAAUUGUUUACAUUAUUUUUAGCUUAAGAUUUACACAAAUAGUCUUUGUGGUAACUAGUAAGUGAAACCUUUUCUAUAUAGUUCAGAUAUUCUAUUUGUUGCACCAUUAGUCCCUAAAGAUUAUUUUGUUGCCAAAAAUGUUCAUCAUUAGUCCCUAAAGAUUAUUUUGUUGCCAAAAAUGUUCAUGACUUACAACCCACUUAAAUACGAGUGCCAAUCAAAUACGAUCCGUGAAAUUGGUGAUCAACAUGCGAAAUAUGUUACGAUGCCAUGAAGUUUAACACCCAAUGACCCAAAAGGGAUCAUUUUAUUACUAUGAAAAUGAUGCAUAACAAUGAAAUGAAAAGAAAUUUAUGUGUAGCUAGAUAAACCACACAAUAAUAAAAGGGCUUACGCUAAUUACACAAUAAGCUAAAUAUUAAAUAUAUGCCAGCGACUAGGAGCAUCCUGAGUUAAUUGGAACUUUAUACGUUUUUCAUUAGAAUAUGAAAAUACUUUUAUUCCGUAUGAACUUAUAUGUGACGAAUGAAUAAUCAUUCNNNNNNNNNNNNNNNNNNNNNNNNNNNNNNNNNNNNNNNNNNNNNNNNNNNNNNNAACCAUUUUGAUGCAAUUUGGUGGGGAAAGCAGUGGCAUAAAUCACGGGAUUAGGGUGUAGUCAAAGUAGAAGUUGUUGAUCAUUUUUCCUUUUUAAAAUAAUUGUCUUGUGUUAACUGUUUUCGUAAAUUAUGCAUAAAAUUUGUUUUUAAUUGAUUUUUAUUUUAGAAAGCGAAGUAAUUCGUAAACAACAAUUUAUGCAUUAUAGAGUUGUACAGUACAACAAUUUAAAGCAUCAAUUGUUGUGUAUGAAGAAAAAUUGUUGUGUACAAAUUAUCUCCCUUUUAGAAAACACAUUUCAACUUAAUAUUUAACAGUUUAUAUUAUCAUUUUUUUUUAACUAAUUAAAGGAUCCGAUUACUAAAAUUGAAAUUAUAGAUGACGAAAAUCUUAUAUUUUUCAUAAAUAAUGAGAAAUUUUCAUAUUGAUUCCCCACAAAAACAAAAAACUUUGGCACAUCGUUACACCAUUGGUUCAUAUGGUAUCCAAAUAGACACGAUUGGUCUUGAGUUGUUAAAUAUAACUUUUUUCUUUUUUCUUAAAUUACCUUUUUACCAAAUCAAAAAACAAUACACCAUGACCAUUUUUGUAAUGUAUUCUAUUAAAGAUAAAAUGAAUUCCUUAAAAUUUGUAAAAUAUUUUUGGAAAAAUUACUAAUAUAACCAAAUUCAUUAAUGACUUCUUAUUUUUUAGCCAAAAUUUAGGACUUAUUUCAAAAUAGUCAUCGAAACCGUAGGUGGUUAAAAUAACUUACUGUUUCGCCCAUUUACCUACGGUUUUGAUUUUAGUAUAUAAGGAUUUUUUUUCCAUUUUUCACUAUGAAACCGUAGACGAAAAAAUGGUCUACUGUUUUCUCAAAUAAGUCUACUGUUUCCAAAAGAGUAGAUUAAAAAUGAUCUACUGUUUCGUCUAAAAACCUACGAUUUUGGUUUUUUUUUUUUGGUAUUUGACUAGUAAUUCAUGUAUUUUGACUACUAUAUUGUACCUAGUGUAUAUUAAAAGAAAAAUCCAUUUUAAAAUAAAAGUUAGUUUUUUUUUUCAUCUUAAAAAAAUAAAAAACCCAAAACCGUAGAUUUUGAACGAAAUAAUAGACCAUUUUUAAUCUACUAUUUGGGAAAUAAUAGACUUCUCCGAGGAAAACGUAGACCAUUUUUUCAUCUACGGUUUCAUAGUGAAAAAUGAAAAAAAAAAUCAUAUACUAAAAUCAAAACUAUAGGUAAAUUGGCAAAACAGUAUGUCAUUUUAACCACCUACGGUUUCGAUGACUAUUUUGAAAUAAGUCCUAAAUUUUGGCUAAAAAGUGAGAAAUCAUUAAUAAAUUUGAUUAUAUUAGUAAUUUUCCCAAUAUAUUUUAAUUUGUAAUUAACUUGGAUUCCUUCGAAUGUAUACAAUAUUUCAUAUGUUAUAAAAAAUGUACAUAGGAAUUAGUUCAACCAAUUAUUUUAUCCUCCUACUCAUUAGAGAAGUUCAUGAAUUGAAUAAGGGUCUUUAAAUAUUCAGACAUUUCAAAACAACCCCAAAAUCUGUGAUCCAGAAUGCCACUUGAAGAAUUCUUUGUAUCAAUGUUUCCACCAAUGUAGCACAAACUACAUCACCAAUUUUGACACCAUGAUUAGCUACUAAAACAUUGUGGGACUUGAUAUCAUAAUGUACUAAAUUCUUUUUGAGUGAAGAUAACCAAACCUAAGUAGAAUGUAGCAAGUAUAAGCUUUAUCAAAGUCUCAUAAACACGCCCACCUUGUUGGAGUGAAGCUAAUCCAACUCAAGUAGAAUCCUAACCCCUGUCGUUUCAUUUUAACUGUUUUAUUCUUUAUCUUUUUACAUAUAAACACUUUCAAUCAUUCAAUAUUUCUUAAAAUUCGAUCGUUCAAGAAAUGUCAUUUCUCUUAUUAACAGUUUUUUAACGAAUUUAUCUAAAAUGACUAGCCAUACAAGAUUUUGAAACCGAAAGGACUAGCAGUGUAGUUUUGUGAAACAUUGUACUAAAGUUGAUACCUUUCUUCUUUCGAAACCACAAAGACCAAUUCUAAAAAAAUUUCUAAUUCAAUUAUAACAUAGAAAGUAGAUUCCGUUCACUUGAAAUUGACUAAAAAAAAUAAAAAUAGAUCACUUUUAGUUUACAUGUAAUUGCUGUUUUUUAUGGGCGGCAGUUACUUUUGACAGAUUGAUAAAAUUUGGUCAUGUAAAUUAAUAUGAAAUCUUUUCAUUUUUAUUAAAUAACAUGGGAUUUAAUGAUUGUAAUUUAAUAAAUUAAAUAAAAAUUUAAGAUUAUUUUGGACAAACGUACAUGAAACAUGGAAGUCAGGCUUUAUUGACCAGUAAAUGUGGACGGGUGUUAUCAGUGAAGGUAAAGUCGAGAAGAGUCCAUGCAUCAAGGCGGAUGGUACGUUGGUUGGGUGGUGACCUAAUUUAAGUUUAAAUCUAUUGUUGAAUUACAGUUUCAGUCCUUUUAAUUUAUGAUUAAUUCGUAACGUGACAUUUUAUAAAAAGCUUUUAUGAUUUCGGUAUAAUUCCAAAAUUCAAACUCAGUUGAGAUUUUUGACGAUUUACUACUGAUUCCAACUUAAUUUCGGUCAUUUUGUGUUAAUGAUGUAUGUUAUUGUUAACCCAUAAACGAUGAAUCAAUUAUUGAUAAAUUAAGACAAGUAGAAAACUUAAUCGGCUAAUUGAUCUGUUGAUGAACCUCUUGUGAAUUCUAAAUCGGACGCUUUUGUUUAUUUUGGAGCAAAUUACAUAAAUUUUCAAUGUGUUUCAAUGAAAGUUACAUUUCGAGUCCAAUUUUUUUUUCUUUUCUUAAUCAUCUAUGUGGUUAACUUUUCUUUACAUUAAUGAUCCCUAUGAUUAAAUUACUAUGUGAAAUUCCUACAUUACCCUUUUAAUUUUCUUUUUCUUUAUGAGUUUGUAAAUAAUAAAAAAAUAAUAUUAAAAGAUAAAAAAAAAUAGUUAUGGUUUUUUAUUUGCUAAGAAAAUAAUUGUAGUUAGGUGUGAAGCUGAUAAUAAUCUAUAAAUAGCUGAGAACUUUCUAAAAAAUCCCAAAUUUUUGGGAAAAAAAUUCUAAUCAUAAUUUUUUUUUGAAUAAAUAUCUCAAAAAAACCAGAUAAUUUAACCAAUUAAGCCCUUUGUGACAUUUUCAACAGGUUACCUGAUGAUAUGGAGUAUCAAGGUGGAAAGAUGUUUAAUGUGUCGGUUGAUGUCACGCCAACAUCUUAAGUUGAAAAUAAAAUGAAAUAUUA
rnacentral:lncRNA from 1 species